rnacentral:lncRNA from 1 species
UGUAGUAGUCUUUACCUCUUUUGUUAGAUUGGUUCCCAGGUUUUUGUUUGUUGUUUGUUGUUUUUGUUUUUGUUUUUGAGGCUAUUGUGAAUGAAAUCGUUUUCCUAAUUUCUCUUUUGUCUAAUUGUUCUGGCUAGAGUUUCAAGGAAGAUGUUGAAUAGAAGUGGUAAAAGAGGAUGUCCUUGUCUUGACCAGUUUUUAGUGGGAAUGCUUUCAAUUUUUCUCUAUUUAGAAUGAUGCUAACCUUAGGGUUAGCAUAGAUAGUUUUUACAAUGUUGAGGUAUGUUCCUACUAUCCCUAGUUUUUCCAGUGUUUUGAACAUGAAGGUGUACUGUAUUUUGUCAUAUGCUUUUUCUGCAUUUAUUGAGAUGAUCAUAUGAUUCUGUUUUUAAGUCUAUUAUUAUGAUGAAUUAUGCUUAUUGAUGUCCAUAUGUUGAACCAACCCUGCAUCCCUGGGAUGAAUCCCACUUGAUUGUGGUGUACUAUCUUUUUAAUAUGUUUUUGUAUGCAAUUUGCCAGAAUUUUACUGAGAAUUUUUGCAUCUAUUGUUCAUCAGGGAUAUUGUUCUGAAGUUUUCUUUCCUUCAUGUGUCUGUCUGGUUUUGGUAUUAGGGUGAUAUUAGC